UAAGGAAUAUUGCUCAAUGGGAGAAAUCCUGAAGCAGCAACGCCGCGUGGAGGAUGAAGGGUCUAUGACUUGUAAACUCCUGUAAAGAAGGAAAAAAUUCCCAUUUGAUGGGAGAUGAUGGUACUUCUGGAGUAAGCCCCGGCUAACUACGUGCCAGCAGCCGCGGUAAUACGUAGGGGGCAAGCGUUGUCCGGAUUUACUGGGUGUAAAGGGUGCUCAGGCGGAUUUGUAAGUCAGAGGUGAAAUCUUACAGCUUAACUGUGAAACUGCCUGUGAUACUGCGAGCCUAGAGUAUGGAAGAGAGUGAUUGAAUAUCUGGUGUCGCAGUGAAAUGCGUAGAUAUCAGAUAAAAGACCAAUGGCGAAGGCAGUCACUUGGUCCAUUACUGACGCUAAAGCACGAAAGCGUGGGUAGCAAACA
rnacentral:rRNA from 1 species